GGUAAGUUUAUAGUUCUACAUAAAUCAAGUAGAUGAUGGGAGAGCUCCCCCUCCGACCUGCUUAAGCAGAGGGGAUCGAAUCCACCAUUUCCCAGUACUCGUCAACAGCCAAUCAUCUUAAUUAAAGCCGGGAAAGAUGCAAUAAAUAAUGCUAUGGAUGAAAGUUUGGCAAUAUAAAGUUUAUAUCUAUGAUGAACGGAAUAUACCCCUCCAACUAUUCGGAAUCAGAGCCCGAAAGAUGCAUCUGAUAAGCAUUUGGAGGCUCAAAAUCAGUGAUGGAAGGAGGUAUGUCAGCAUUUGAUGCAGUUCUCACACGGUUUCUUCUUCUAGGUUUGCUUCCUUCCUUAGUAGUUGGUUGACUUGGUUGAGUGGAUUCAUUUGGGAGUUCUGGUUGCCUAACUGGUUGAGAUGGGGGAGUGGGUUGAGAUCUCCGUAGCCAAAUUGUACCGAAAGACAAAAAUGAAGCAAGAAACAAGACUGGACCAAUCCUUGGGUCGUCUAGACGGUCAUAGAUUCCCACUUUGAUGUGCUCAAUCCACUUCAACACAUUGGUAAUAAAACUACUCCCAGCACUUCCAAAACUCAUAGGCUCCGG
rnacentral:misc_RNA from 1 species